rnacentral:rRNA from 1 species
UGGGGAAUCUUCCGCAAUGGACGAAAGUCUGACGGAGCAACGCCGCGUGGGUGACGAAGGUUUUCGGAUCGUAAAACCCUGUCAAGAAGGAAGAAAAAAGACGGUACUUCUGAAGGAAGCCCCGGCUAACUACGUGCCAGCAGCCGCGGUAAUACGUAGGGGGCAAGCGUUGUCCGGAAUUACUGGGCGUAAAGGGUGCGUAGGCGGCAUGAUAAGUCUGAAGUAAAAGCCAAUGGCUCAACCAUUGUAAGCUUUGGAAACUGUCAAGCUAGAGUACAGGAGAGGUUAGUGGAAUUCCAUGUGUAGCGGUAAAAUGCGUAGAUAUAUGGAGGAACACCAGUGGCGAAGGCGGCUAACUGGCCUGUAACUGACGCUGAAGCACGAAAGCGUGGGGAGCAAAUA